CCUUAUUAAGAGUAGCUGAGGGAACAGGCCCUUUGAAGCUCGGCAACCUGCGUUAAGCAAGGUGCUAAUUCCUGCGGUAUGACCGAAAGAUAAGG
rnacentral:ncRNA from 1 species